UACGUAGGGCGCAAGCGUUGUCCGGAAUUAUUGGGCGUAAAGAGCUCGUAGGCGGCCUGUUGCGUCCGCUGUGAAAUCCCGGGGCUCAACCCUGGGCCUGCAGUGGAUACGGGCUGGCUAGAGGCAGGCAGGGGAGAACGGAAUUCCUGGUGUAGCGGUGAAAUGCGCAGAUAUCAGGAGGAACACCGGUGGCGAAGGCGGUUCUCUGGGCCUGUACUGACGCUGAGGAGCGAAAGCGUGGGGAGCGAACAGG
rnacentral:rRNA from 1 species